rnacentral:tRNA from 1 species
GGCUUUGUAGUGAAGUUCAUGUUGAGUUGCAAGCUCAUCGAUGUGUGUUGAAGACACACCAAAGUCU